UCNNNNNNNNNNNNNNNNNNNNGACGAAAAAUGAAUACCAAGUCUCAAGAGUGAACACGUAAUUCAUUACGAAGUUUAAUUCAUUGAGCAUCAAACUUUUAAAUUGAAGAGUUUGAUCAUGGCUCAGAUUGAACGCUGGCGGCAGGCCUAACACAUGCAAGUCGAACGGUAACAGGAAGCAGCUUGCUGCUUUGCUGACGAGUGGCGGACGGGUGAGUAAUGUCUGGGAAACUGCCUGAUGGAGGGGGAUAACUACUGGAAACGGUGGCUAAUACCGCAUAACGUCGCAAGACCAAAGAGGGGGACCUUCGGGCCUCUUGCCAUCAGAUGUGCCCAGAUGGGAUUAGCUUGUUGGUGAGGUAACGGCUCACCAAGGCGACGAUCCCUAGCUGGUCUGAGAGGAUGACCAGCCACACUGGAACUGAGACACGGUCCAGACUCCUACGGGAGGCAGCAGUGGGGAAUAUUGCACAAUGGGCGCAAGCCUGAUGCAGCCAUGCCGCGUGUAUGAAGAAGGCCUUCGGGUUGUAAAGUACUUUCAGCGGGGAGGAAGGUGUUGUGGUUAAUAACCGCAGCAAUUGACGUUACCCGCAGAAGAAGCACCGGCUAACUCCGUGCCAGCAGCCGCGGUAAUACGGAGGGUGCAAGCGUUAAUCGGAAUUACUGGGCGUAAAGCGCACGCAGGCGGUCUGUCAAGUCGGAUGUGAAAUCCCCGGGCUCAACCUGGGAACUGCAUUCGAAACUGGCAGGCUUGAGNNNNNNNNNNNNNNNNNNNNGAAUUCCAGGUGUAGCGGUGAAAUGCGUAGAGAUCUGGAGGAAUACCGGUGGCGAAGGCGGCCCCCUGGACAAAGACUGACGCUCAGGUGCGAAAGCGUGGGGAGCAAACAGGAUUAGAUACCCUGGUAGUCCACGCCGUAAACGAUGUCUACUUGGAGGUUGUGCCCUUGAGGCGUGGCUUCCGGAGCUAACGCGUUAAGUAGACCGCCUGGGGAGUACGGCCGCAAGGUUAAAACUCAAAUGAAUUGACGGGGGCCCGCACAAGCGGUGGAGCAUGUGGUUUAAUUCGAUGCAACGCGAAGAACCUUACCUGGUCUUGACAUCCACGGAAGUUUUCAGAGAUGAGAAUGUGCCUUCGGGAACCGUGAGACAGGUGCUGCAUGGCUGUCGUCAGCUCGUGUUGUGAAAUGUUGGGUUAAGUCCCGCAACGAGCGCAACCCUUAUCCUUUGUUGCCAGCGGUCCGGCCGGGAACUCAAAGGAGACUGCCAGUGAUAAACUGGAGGAAGGUGGGGAUGACGUCAAGUCAUCAUGGCCCUUACGACCAGGGCUACACACGUGCUACAAUGGCGCAUACAAAGAGAAGCGACCUCGCGAGAGCAAGCGGACCUCAUAAAGUGCGUCGUAGUCCGGAUUGGAGUCUGCAACUCGACUCCAUGAAGUCGGAAUCGCUAGUAAUCGUGGAUCAGAAUGCCACGGUGAAUACGUUCCCGGGCCUUGUACACACCGCCCGUCACACCAUGGGAGUGGGUUGCAAAAGAAGUAGGUAGCUUAACCUUCGGGAGGGCGCUUACCACUUUGUGAUUCAUGACUGGGGUGAAGUCGUAACAAGGUAACCGUAGGGGAACCUGCGGUUGGAUCACCUCCUUACCUUAAAGAAGCGUACUUUGCAGUGCUCACACAGAUUGUCUGAUGAAAA
rnacentral:rRNA from 1 species